rnacentral:misc_RNA from 1 species
CCACGCUACGUCCCUUUCCCUCUUCGUUAUGCAUGUGAGUUACUCAUGCAGGCUUUUGGGCUACAGCUCUACAUGGAGCUACAGUUGGCAGCACAGUUGGUGGAAAAGAAGAUCCUCAGGACUCAGACGUUGCUCUGUGACAUGCUUCUCCGAGAUGCCCCUUUUGGUAUUGUCACUCAAUCGCCUAGUAUUAUGGAUCUUGUGAAGUGUGAUGGAGCUGCACUAUAUUAUGGAGGGAAAUGUUGGUUGCUGGGUAUAACUCCAACUGAAUCACAGGUAAAAGAUAUUGCAGAGUGGCUGCUCAUCAAUCAUGGAGAUUCUACCGGGUUGAGUACUGAUAGCUUGGCUGGUGCUGGUUAUCCAGGUGCUGC